UGCAGCCCAACCCUUGGCUCCAGAGACUACACCAGCGUCCACAUGCAGCACUGUUCCCACUGUGGUCUGUCUGUCUGUCUUCCCAGGCCUGGUGGAGGAGGCCAGGUAGGGGUGGAUGGGAGCCUGCCUAUCCCAGACCCCUCUGGGCAGGAUCUAUCCAGGGUGCUCUAACCCUGGCAUCUUCACUAAUAUUUCUAUCCACUACAUUCUUCUGUCCCUUGCUUCUCCCCCCUGCAUGGUGCUCUGCCUCUGCUUAGACUACAGGUUUUGCACACAAUCUCUAUUGCUUCAAAGAGAAACAGACAAAACAGCAUGUCAACUGGGGAAGAGAAAGAUAAGGUUUCUGGAAUCUCAAACUAUCUGCACCAUGCCCCAAGGAACACCGAACGCCCCAUGACACACAGUAGUAAGAAAGGUCAUGUUCUACACUGAACACUCACUCCAUGACACACAGUAGGCAUGCAGUAAGAAAGGUCAUGUUCUACACUGAACACUCACUCCAUGACACACAGUAGGCAUGCAGUAAGAAAGGUCAUGUUCUACACUGAACACUCACUCCAUGACACACAGUAGGCAUGCAGUAAGAAAGGUCAUGUUCUACACUGAACACUCACUCCAUGACACACAGUAGGCAUGCAGUAAGAAAGGUCAUGUUCUACACUGAACACUCACUCCAUGACACACAGUAGGCAUGCAGUAAGAAAGGUCAUGUUCUACACUGAACACUCACUCCAUGACACACAGUAGGCAUGCAGUAAGAAAGGUCAUGUUCUACACUGAACACUCACUCCAUGACACACAGUAGGCAUGCAGUAAGAAAGGUCAUGUUCUACACUGAACACUCACUCCAUGACACACAGUAGGCAUGCAGUAAGAAAGGUCAUGUUCUACACUGAACACUCACUCCAUGACACACAGUAGGCAUGCAAGAAACACCUGUUACAUUUCUACUGCAUUUACACCAUUCUAGCUAUAAUUUACUUACUAUCUGCCAUUAAAUGUUCUUCUAUUUAAAUAUACUUCAAACAAAAGGAAAUGUAGUAUAACCUAUAAAAUCUAUGCAGAGCUUUUCGGGGGUAGCGGUGUUAAGGAUUGAGCCUGGAGCCUGGCCCAUGCCAGGCAACCAUUCAACCACUGAUCUCCAGGGCAUUAAAAUAACUUGACAUAAAAACCGCAUGUAACCGCAUGUUCAUCCACCUUACUAAAAGCACCUGAUUCCAUUACAUUAGGGAGCACUGCCCCAGUACCCAGCUUGAUCCGGGGCACCAGGAACAAUCCCAGGUCCUGGGCUGCAAUCUGAGAGCAGCUCACUCCUUCUUCCCGCACUGUUGUCCUUGCCCUUGUCACUCACUUGUCUCCCUUGUCACUCACACUGCUUCCUCUCCUAGGGUAGGGUAAGAGGGCAAUUGAGGGGGAUGAAGGGAUAGAUACCUCAGAGGUGUCAGGAGUCAGAUGGGUGAGCAGACCAAGCAGAAGGAGCAGAAAGAGUAUUUUCCAAAAACUUGUGGACAAUUCUAGGAUCUGAUCUUGCCCAGGGAGAGCCUGGGCAAGUCCCUGUGAUUGCGCAUGACUGCGCGUGACUUCUUCCUCAGCUGUAAAACUGGUGCUUUUCGUGCAUAUGCUCUUUUCAGGGUGUCUGUAGGAACCCAGGGUCUAUGUGUGUGUGUGUGUGUGUGUGUGUGUGUGUGUGUGUGUGUGUGUGUGUGUGUGUGUGUGUGAUGUACACCAGGGUUAGCCGUGUGAGAAGCAAUAAUGGUAAUAACAGCAGAACCGGCUGCCCUGAGUGUUUCCACGCAAUACACUACGGUGGACAAGAGAGGAUGUUCAGGAGUCCUCUAAGGCAAAUGGCCACUCAUAUCCCCCUGCCCUCUACCCCCUACCAUAUCUCUAUACACUGGUAGAGAAACUAGAAUCCCCAGAAUUCUGGGAGAAGGCAGCAGGUCUUCUAUACCCUGAGAGGUCACCAGGAGCAAGUCCUUCAAGAGCAAUGUCUCCCAAUACUACAUACAAGGACCAGGGGCAGACUGGGUAGGCCACCAGCCUGGGGCCAACCCAGGCUGGAGCUGUGUCCAGUGGUAACCCCAAAGUGGCCUCGCCUGCAAAAAUGCUGUUGCUUCAAAGAUGAGGCUAUGUUUUGAUUAGCUCUCCUCCCAGUAGUGGCCCCACUGACUCCCAGCAGGUCCCCCCACACCCCCUGCAUAGGGCUGCAGCUCCCCACAGUCCCUAGCCUUUACCCAGACUGUAAGCCACAUUGUGCUCUGGGCCCCAUGCUGCUCUUUUUACCCGGUUUGCAAGGCCAGUGGUAGGCAGUGUCUUUGAAGUCCUGUUUUCUGUUCCAGUUGGAAACUUUGCUCAGAACCAGAAUUAGAGAGGUUGUACAAUCAACUUGCAAUUUAAAAUACCACCCAGGCCUCCCUCCCCUCCCCCAUUUUAAAAUGUCAUCUUAAUUAGAUGGCACCUGGUUUCAUGCUUUCUGAAUUUUAAGGUAAUUUCCUGAAGGCCUUUUCUUCCUUGUAGCUAUUUUUAUCUUCAGUUAUGGUGGCAGAAACCCAGUUGGAGGGUUGGGGAGGUUACUACCUAAUUCAGCACACACUCUAGGCAUUUCUCGGACAUAGGGCCAGGCCAUGGGUGGGAAGGGAAGAAGCUGGGGUAGCUGGGGCCGGGUGCCCUCUCCCUCCCCAGCCCACUCGCCUUACAUACAGGACAGUCACUUUCUUUGUUAAUCAUCCCUUUCAACAAAGAGGGAGCAGCUGGUAUUGAGGCUGGUCUCCUACGGCUUCCUGAGGUGUCAUGGGCAUUUCUCUACCUCAUCUGCCAUGGGAGAUUAGGGAGGACCUGCUAGAAGCUGAAUCGGGUGUUCCUAAAAUUCCUAUGCGGUGAUGCCCAUCCCCACAAAUGCACAAUACAACUGUACUGUGGGACUCCAUCUUUAAAGAGGUGCUCUAGCUGAGACUGUGAAGGAAGGUCCUCAUCUUGUAAGAGAUUAAGACAUAGAUGCACAGAGAAGGAAGACUGUGAAAACACAGGCACCAGACAGUCAUCUACAGCUCAUGGACGAAGGUGCCAGAAGAACCAGGCCUGCUGUCAUGGUGACCUCCAGUACUAUGUAUGAGACAAUAAAUGCCAGUCAUUCAAGUUCCCAACUUGUAGGACUUGCACAAACUGAAGACCCACACAGCUCCUGAGAUCCUUCCCUGGGCUGUGGUGUCAUCCUGUACUCUAUCCACAGACCAGGCAGACUCUGGAUCUCAUCUCCCGUGUCGGCCCAUAGUCACUACCCAACCCCCUCUCAUAGUCACUAUUCAACCCCCGCUCCCGUCUGCAGGCUUUGCACAGGGCCCUUAUGCCAAUUCCAGCCACUGCCACAGACAGAGCUCCUGGACUUGGCUCUUCGCACAUCUCCAGGCUAAGAGUCAACUCUUCUUCUUCGUUGUCUUAGACUAAACAGGACUCAGAAGAGAAGGGAAUCCUGGAUUCCUCUGGACCCACCCACUCCCCAGACUAUCCACAGCAGACAUCUCAGCAUGCUUUUUGUUUCUUUAAAUGAACCAUCACGGCAUGUAAACAGUCCUGUCUCCUUGCUGACUCUCUUUCUAGAGAGCUGGUACGCUCUGUGAGGGUAGGGCCCACUUCUGCUGUUCUCACUGUUGGUUUCAGUUAUGAGGUAGGACUUGUAGAAUGUUCCAGGCCAUGAGCUCAGACAAAUGCCAGCACUUUGUCCUUAGUGGGCCAGGCAGUGGCAGGGCGAGCUGGAGGUAGGAUUGAGAAGGCAGAGGAGGAACUGCCCAGAAUUCAUUCUCAAGGUCUGUGUUCUCCACAACAGGAAACCCAGAAUAGCAGAUAAGCUGGGGGCAGGGGGUGGGGUGAGGUGGGGUGGGAGCUGAUGUCACUGGUAAACAGAACUGGGACUCUUGGACUCCUGGAUGUUCUGAUACCUCAAGAGUAUGUGGAGAAGGAUGCUGGGUUCCAGCAGAGAUGGGAGUAUCUUCCCUUGGCAGCUAUGUGUGGCUGAUACAGAGGCACAGCUACAUGGGCGCAGCCUGCAUGUGUGGGCACAGCAGGUCAUCGGCUUGUGGCAUCACCCCAGAUCAGAGGGAAACAGCUCUGCUUAGCCACCAGUCCUGUGGAGGAACGGGAGAGACGUGGGAUGACAUGGCCGCAGAGGACAAGCGGCCUUAGGAGAAGAUGGUGGCUAAGCGCAAGAAAAAUUAUAGGAGGGGUACUGCUGCCUCUGGAUGAAAAGGGAGUCUGCGGCAGGGGAAAGGGGGAGCGGGGCUGCCACGCCUGCAAAGAGCAGGAAGAAGAGGGUGAGGAGGAAGACGAUGAGUACGUCGGUUCUAGUUUUUCUUAUCUACAAAGCAUUCAACCCACUGUGUACAUAACUCCAUUUAAAGAAAAUAGUUGGAGUGAGAUGUUUUAAAACUGCACAGUGCUUCUUUGUCUGUAAACGCACCACCAAAGGGGCUGCCAGCCCUGCCCAGGCAGUGUUGCCAAUGGCGCUGACCUUGUGUGGUACAGUCUGGGCUGUGAACUGUUACGGGGACUUCUGGUGCUGCACAGCACUGAUUACUUACUUAUCUAUGGGCCAGUCGUUCUUUCUGUCCUCACUUGUCUUUGAUAUAGCUUAUAUGGAAUAAUUAUUCUGUUAACUGAAGAUCACUCUGUUUUUAAAAAGAAGGAUGUGGCUGUUUUGUUGAUGUUUUGAAUAACUCUAAGAAAAUAUCAUUCUUUUUAAUUAAAAAGAAAAUUCACUACGAUAGCCACUGCCUUACAAAUUACGCACACCUACAACUUUCCUGCCAAAUCUUAGUAAACAACACCAUAGCUUAGCUGUAUUCUACAUGGAAGGAAAGACAGCAAAGCAAAUGCAGCUGGGGUCUGGCUAAAAAUAACUCCUCAAAACAACAGUGUCCAACAACUAAAAACAUUAACUAUCCGUCUCCCCUCUUCCAACACACUGCACACAAUUCCCAGAUUCUGCUCUAAGUGCUUACUGUGUCAAUACAGAGAGCCCCAUUUCUACCCAUCUUAUCCCCAGGGCACUGAGACCAAGGUCCAGGAGAACAAAGGGCCCAGAGGAUGGGGCUGAAUCCUCACUAGAAAGCUGUCACUGGUAUAUGCUCAUGGAAGUCUGUCAAGGCUGAGGCCGAGGGAAUGGUGCAACAAAGGCAGAAUCAGAUCCGGUGUAGUGCUCCAGUGUGGGCCCCAGCUCUGCUGUCUGGACCACUGAGCUCUUGCUCUGUUCCUUGUCUGCCAAGUCAGUUGUUCUCACACAAUCUGGGCUAACAGUGGAUAGAGCACUUGGGAACCCAAGGGGUUCGGGCCUUGCACUGGCUGGAGAGAGGUGAGACUGGCCGGUUGGGAGAAGGCAGGGCAACACUAGUAUGUCAGGGAACUGGGGCCUAAAACUAGAACUGUGCUUUGCUACAACACUGAAAUCAGCAGGAGACAAGUCAAACUCACUUGUAAAAUCAUAUUUAAGAAAAAUUCCUCUUGUUAUUGGUUCAGUUGGCAUCUCUGAAGGGGGCUACAGAAAAGGCUGGUGGUCUCGAGCUCCUGGGCUCGGGUAAUCCACCUACCUUAGCACCCCAUGUCGGGGGCUUCAAGGACACUACCACCCGCAAAACCAAGUUCCAAGUUCUCCCUUACUUUUCAGGGACAAGCUCAAAGGCAUCAACCCAUUUUGAGGAUGAGAAUAAUUGUGGUCACACAGGCACAGCAGACAAGUUUCCCAACCUUAAUUCCUUUCUGUUCUGUUGUCUGAGUUUUUGUUCGAUCCGAGUCAUCGUGUUCCUGAGAUACCUCAUUUGUCAACACACUGUGAGGGAGCUGGAGGUAGGUGGUCUUAGAUUUCCAUCCCAACUCUGCUGCAGACUGUGGGGCUCCCCAGAUGUCAUCAUUCCCACUGUGAGACCCCACCUUCUCUAGGUGCUAUGAGCCCUAAAGGAACAGAAGCCACUGAAGACAGUAGAGCCUGAGGGGCAGUCGGUGGGCAGCAGCUGCUCUGUGCUGUACCGAUAGCUAAAGGAGCUGGGCUGGCACCAGGUGCGUACUUAGGUGGCCACUUUUGGGAGGAGAGGAAGGCCUAAGUCUCAUAAAGCUUAGUCUCUCUUUCUCUGUCUCUCUCUCCCUCUCUCUCCCCACUUCCCCUCCCUCACCCUUCCCCCAGGAGCUACACACGCAGUCACAUAUGGGGUGGGCACAUGUACACAUGUAUACUCAUGCUCACCCGAUUUUCAUUUGGGGGCUUGUAAAUCCCAGGUUAGACCCAUCCUGCUCGAUUAUAAAGCAUGGGCAUCUGAAAGGUUUCUGGGCUUGGGCGAAUGCUCUCUCCUCAGGUAAUCUGUGCUGAUUUCCCCCAGCAGGGCCAUAAACCUGGCCUGUGUACCAACUGAUUUCCAUCCUGCCCUUUCCCCACCUGCUGCUCUGGGCAGAGAGGGGCCCUCGGCUACAGCCCUGUGCACAGUGUGCCCAGUGUCAGGUCUACACAAGUCAGGUGCAGUGCGGCUUGGAGGUUACAGCAUAUAGAAAGAGGCAUUCAAAAAACCCCAAGUUACUUGAUGUAUCAAGUCCAUAGCUCAUUAUAGAAAGUAAUUCAGGGACAAGAGAGAGGGAGUAAGUGUCGCAGAGACCAGGGCAGAAAGGACAGGCCCCUUCGGGUUGUGCUCAGCCAAUGCUUGGCAGCCACAGCUCUGCCAGUCACAUGCAGCAUCACGCCAGCUCCUUCUGAAAGGGCUUUUCAGUGGAUCCCGUGCACUGGUUCAGAGGAAGCACAGCUCAGGCCCCAACUCCCCAGAGCAUGGCUUGCGUCAUAAGCAAAAAAAAAAAAAAAAAAAAAUCCCCGAAGCGGCAGCUCUGGGAAGGCGGAUGCUAGGGCUGGGGACGGCACCUGUACAGCAAGGAUGAGAACGUUUACCAGGGCUGUGGGCUCUCACUUGGCCUGCAGAGCCCAGUGCUGGCUCUGCCAGCUAUCGCUGUGUCACAUGGAUAUGUCACUCAAUCCAUGACAGGGGUGGAUACGGUGAGUGUUGCCAGCACCCAAGACCUCUCUGUCCCUGUGUCAGAAGGUCUGCUCCUGUGAGAUGCCGCAGACCCUCACGUUCUCAAUACAUUUCACGUAACUAACUCACUUUUAACCAAGUUAAAGCCCAUACGCUGGCCUUCCUUUCAGGAUGCCACAAUUAUUAUUCCUUGGAUUCACACUAAGAUAAACAUAUGGCUAUUAAAUGGAGCCUGUUGGCUGGGAUAAAUCCAGAAACAGGGUCCCUGGCACAGCGCCGGCAUGUACAUGCUCAGUGUGUAGGCGUUGCCGAGGCUGUCACCGGUGCCCUGGCAUGCUGGCGAUCUUACGGCUCUCUGCAGUUACCUAUCCUGGCCCGGCCUCCUAACCCCUCCUUCACUGCCCCCUCCUCACCUCACCUCUUGUUUGACUGAUGGGAAGAGCACCCCACACACUGACUCUCGUUGCUUUUAAAUUCUGUAUAGAGCAGGAGCACAGCCUCCGCCCGGUCCUGCUCAGCUGCACACAUCUUUCCUCUCUUCACACCUCCCUCUCCCCCAGUGUGGCAAAACUGAAAUGUCUAAGGAGGGGGGAGCACUCCAUCCAGCACUGCCUGGUUAUUUUUCAAUUCUGCCUUGCUGACUAACACAGCAUUUCCUAAUUACAACUCUACUAGGAAGCUGUGCAGUUUCAUUAAAAAAAAAAAAAAAAAAAAAAA